AGAGUUUGAUUCUGGCUCAGGAUGAACGCUAGCUACAGGCUUAACACAUGCAAGUCGAGGGGCAGCAUGGAGUUUGCUUGCAAACUCUGAUGGCGACCGGCGCACGGGUGAGUAACGCGUAUCCAACCUUCCCUAUAGUAGAGGAUAGCCCGGCGAAAGUCGGAUUAAUACUCUAUGUUUUCCGUUGCAGACAUCUAAGAUGGAACAAAGGCUUGCCGCUAUAGGAUGGGGAUGCGUCUGAUUAGAUAGUAGGCGGGGUAACGGCCCACCUAGUCGACGAUCAGUAGGGGUUCUGAGAGGAAGGUCCCCCACAUUGGAACUGAGACACGGUCCAAACUCCUACGGGAGGCAGCAGUGAGGAAUAUUGGUCAAUGGGCGAGAGCCUGAACCAGCCCAAGUAGCGUGAGGGACGACGGCCCUACGGGUUGUAAACCUCUUUUGGAGGGGAAUAAAGUGCGGGACAUGUCCCGUUUUGCAUGUACCCUCAGAAUAAGGACCGGCUAAUUCCGUGCCAGCCGCCGC
rnacentral:rRNA from 1 species